rnacentral:rRNA from 1 species
AUUGAACGCUGGCGGCAGGCCUAACACAUGCAAGUCGAACGAGUGGCGGACGGGUGAGUAAUGUCUGGGCAACUGCCUGAUGGAGGGGGAUAACUACUGGAAACGGUAGCUAAUACCGCAUACCAUCGGAUGUGCCCAGAUGGGAUUAGCUAGUUGGUGAGGUAACGGCUCACAAAGGCCACGAUGCAUAGCCGACCUGGGAGGGUGAUCGGCGACACUGGAACUGAGACACGGUCCAGACUCCUACGGGAGGCAGCAGGGGGGAAUAUUGCACAAUGGGCGAAAGCCUGAUGCAGCCAUGCCGCGUGUAUGAAGAAGGCCUUCGGGUUGUAAAGUACUUUCAGCGGGGAGGCGUUACCCGCAGAAGAAGCAACGGCUAACUCCGUGCCAGCAGCCGCGGUAAUAC